UACAGAGGGUGCAAGCGUUGUUCGGAAUAAUUGGGCGUAAAGGGUGCGUAGGCGGUUAUAUAAGUCUCAUGUGAAAGUCAAUGGCUCAACCAUUGGAGGCCAUGAGAUACUGUAUAACUAGAAUAUUGUAGAGGGCAGUGGAAUUUCUGGUGUAGCGGUGAAAUGCGUAGAUAUCAGAAGGAACAUCAGUGGCGAAGGCGACUGCCUGGACAAAUAUUGACGCUGAGGCACGAAAGCGUGGGUAGCGAACAGG
rnacentral:rRNA from 1 species